ACCGUGAAUGAUCACAAAUUGCAUCAGUAGUGCCUCAGUUCAUGCGUUGGGCUGGGGUACAAACCGGCGUGCUUACAUGUGGUGCUGUAGUAAUUAAAUGUAUAUUUGAUGAUGGAAAUGUGCCGUAAUGCGCAUCUGGCGCUUUGCGUAGGGUGGUGGCCAUGUAUCUGCGAAUUCAUAUGAUGACAAACACUUCACUGAGGAGGGUGACGUACAAGUUUCUGUGGCUCUUCCACCAAGUUCCUAUGUUUCCGGCUACAGGAGCGUAAACUUGGGCCACUUUGUAUGUUCUGGCUGCUAUCUUGCCGAGCAGACAUGGGCCACUGGGUAUGUGCCGGAAUAGACAACUUGCUGCUGGCUGGUCGAGUAUAGACAACUUGUGUUACUGGUGAUCGAUGGGACAUUGCAACAUGUGCCAAGAACAGCAAUGAUAGCGAUGACACUUAACAUCGACUGCCUUUCCAGAAGCAAAACAUGCAACAUUUAUCACUAAAGUGUGGCCCGUGUGGCUCCCAGGCAAGUUGGUAUUGGCCCUCGCCACUUUUGAGUUGAGCAGUCAUGCACUAGGCUAAUCCCCCACAUUCCGGCUUUAUAGUGUAAAAGCUGUAGUCCAUUAUUUCAUUUGCUUAGUUUGGAGGCAUUACCCAUAACCCAGCAUUAAUUUCCAAAUAAGCUUAUUUCUGUAGGACCUUGCUGUUCAUUUUUCUACGCAUUUUUCAACUGCUGUUUAACAAAAUAAAUGUUUCUGUGAUUUUAUAGCUGUCUAAAUGUCUAAACAUUAUAAAGCAAGAAGACAAGCUCCUGCAUAUUUAUGUGUGUGUCGAGUAAUAGCGGAACUGGAAAAAUGAAUGUUACCAUCUCAAUCACUUAUCUGACAAAGGCAGAAAAUAUUUGCAGCCAUAAUUUGUGUAAU
rnacentral:lncRNA from 1 species